rnacentral:tRNA from 1 species
GCCCGCCUGGCUCAAUCGGAUAGAGCGUCAGACUCUUAUACAUGCUUUCGUGUUUUAAGAAUGAUCUGAAGGCUGCGAGUUCGACCCUCGCGGUGGGUU